rnacentral:tRNA from 1 species
GCCCGGGUGGCGAAAUUGGUAGACGCACUACCUUGAGGUGGUAGCGAGUAACAUCGUGCUGGUUCGAAUCCAGUCUCGGGCA